rnacentral:rRNA from 1 species
AACGAACGUUAGCGGCGCGCCUAACACAUGCAAGUCGAACGCGACUGGGGGCAACUCCAGUCGAGUGGCGCACGGGUGAGUAACACGUAGGUAAUCUCCCCCCGAGUGGUGGAUAACCUUCCGAAAGGAGGGCUAAUACAGCAUAAGACCACGGGCUCGAAAGAGCUUGAGGUCAAAGCGGAGGAUCGCAAGACUUCGCGCUUGGGGUUGAGCCUGCGGCCCAUCAGCUAGUUGGCGGGGUAACAGCCCACCAAGGCCAAGACGGGUAGCUGGUCUGAGAGGAUGAUCAGCCACACGGGAACUGAGACACGGUCCAGACUCCUACGGGAGGCAGCAGUGGGGAAUCUUGCGCAAUGGCCGAAAGGCUGACGCAGCGACGCCGCGUGGGUGAUGAAGGCCUUCGGGUUGUAAAGCCCUGUGGGGAGGGACGAAUAAGUGCCGCCUAAUACGCGGCGCGAUGACGGUACCUCCUUAGCAAGCACCGGCUAACUCUGUGCCAGCAGCCGCCGUAACAC